GUCUAAAUGGUUCUGUCCUCUGAUAUAAGGCCAGAUUUUACCGAGGUCUUUAGUCCUGUAAUUAAACCACCUAUAAUUCAUCUUAUUCUAACCAUAGUCUUAUCAUCUAAAUGGCCAAUAGUACAAUAUGACUGCAUCUAAAUGUGUUUACUACUAUAUUUUAAUUUCAAAUUAAAGUGCUAAUGACUUAAAACUAUUUUUUUAGUUUCCUAACUUGUCAAUUCUUUAUGAAAUUAUCAGUUGGUUACCUUUCCCUCCUGGUUCUCAGAAGAUUACAGAGAUCAUCAAGAAACGAUAUGAUAAACCGUACAAAAAGUUUGGAGAUGUCCCUCUUCCGACAAAGAAGCUUUGGUUUAAGGAAUGGAAGAGCCACUUUCUUAUUGAUGAUGAUGAUGAUGAGUUUUUCUGGAGGGCUUUCAAGUAUAGGACAAGUAAGCGAUUUAGCCAAAUGAUGUCAGAUAUCCGUGAGGGUGUGGAUACAACCCACGAAUGGCUAAUUCCUGCUUACAAAAAGGUGUUAGAAAGGUAUUGGAAAACAGAUGAGAAAUGGAAAAAUAUAAGGAAAAAAGCAAGAGAGAAUCGAGUGUCACUCUUAGGUGGUUCUGUCCAUUGCGGUGGUUCUAUUCCAUUGAGCUCAACUAUAGAGAGGAUGAAGAAGUAGUUGGGUUGUACACCAACCCACGAGGAGGUCUUCAAAGAAACCCACACACUUAAAAGUGACAAGUCUAAAUGGGUGGACAAGCGCUCUCAAGACACUCAUGAGAAGUUUAUAAAAAAGUUAGCAGAAGUUCAGGCCCAACAUGUCGAGGCUCAAGCACAAGGAAUGGAGCUACAACCAAUUGAUGAAGAUUUGAUUUGGGAGGAAGUGUGUGGUGGGCAAAAGAAGAAUCGAGUUUACGAAAAAGGGUCAUUCUUUUCUAACUCUAUCAAGUCUGGAACCACUUCUGCCAAUUCUGUAUCUGGAA